GACGAACGCUGGCGGCGUGCUUAACACAUGCAAGUCGAACGGAAAGGCCCUGCUUUUGUGGGGUGCUCGAGUGGCGAACGGGUGAGUAACACGUGAGUAACCUGCCCUUGACUUUGGGAUAACUUCAGGAAACUGGGGCUAAUACCGGAUAGGAGCUCCUGCUGCAUGGGGGGGGUUGGAAAGUUUCGGCGGUUGGGGAUGGACUCGCGGCUUAUCAGCUUGUUGGUGGGGUAGUGGCUUACCAAGGCUUUGACGGGUAGCCGGCCUGAGAGGGUGACCGGCCACAUUGGGCCUGAGGUACGGCCCAGACUCCUACGGGAGGCAGCAGUGGGGAAUAUUGCACAAUGGGCGGAAGCCUGAUGCAGCAACGCCGCGUGCGGGAUGACGGCCUUCGGGUUGUAAACCGCUUUCGCCUGUGACGAAGCGUGAGUGACGGUAAUGGGUAAAGAAGCACCGGCUAACUACGUG
rnacentral:rRNA from 1 species